UCGGAGUCUGCAACCCGACUCCGUGAAGCUGGAUUCGCUAGUAAUCGCGCAUCAGCCAUGGCGCGGUGAAUACGUUCCCGGGCCUUGUACACACCGCCCGUCAAGCCAUGGGAGCCGGGGGCACUUGAAGUACGCCGCCGCGAGGAGCGUCCUAGAGUGAAACUGGUGACUGGGGCUAAGUCGUAACAAGGUAUC
rnacentral:rRNA from 1 species